rnacentral:rRNA from 1 species
CGGACGGGUGAGUAAUGUCUGGGAAACUGCCUGAUGGAGGGGGAUAACUACUGGAAACGGUAGCUAAUACCGCAUAACGUCGCAAGACCAAAGAGGGGGACCUUCGGGCCUCUUGCCAUCAGAUGUGCCCAGAUGGGAUUAGCUCGUAGGUGGGGUAACGGCUCACCUAGGCGACGAUCCCUAGCUGGUCUGAGAGGAUGACCAGCCACACUGGAACUGAGACACGGUCCAG